UUAGCAGAAGCUAAUUGAUAGCGCUUCAUUGUUAAUGAAGAGGAAGGGAUGACCCCUGUUAAG
rnacentral:tRNA from 1 species